CGUGCUUAACACAUGCAAGUCGAACGAAAAUACCAAGCUUGCUUGGUUGAUUAGUGGCGAACGGGUGAGUAACACGUGAGUAACCUGCCCCUUACUUUCUGGAUAACUGCUCGAAAGGGUAGCUAAUACGGGAUAUUCUGGCCUUCCUGCAUGGGUUGGUUUGGAAAGGUUGUUUUUCUGGUGAGGGAUGGGCUCGCGGCCUAUCAGCUUGUUGGUGGGGUGAUGGCCUACCAAGGCUUUGACGGGUAGCCGGCCUGAGAGGGUGGACGGUCACACUGGGACUGAGAUACGGCCCAGACUCCUACGGGAGGCAGCAGUGGGGAAUAUUGCACAAUGGGCGCAAGCCUGAUGCAGCGACGCCGCGUGAGGGAUGAAGGCCUUCGGGUUGUAAACCUCUUUCGUCAGGGAACAAGGCA
rnacentral:rRNA from 1 species